AUUGAACUCAGGGUUGCUCAACCACUGAGCCACGUCCCCAGCCAUAUUUUGUAUUUAGAGACAGGGUCUCAUUGAGUUGCUUAGCACCUCUCAGUUGCUGAGGCUAGCUUUGAACUUGUGAUUCUCCUGUUUCAGCCUCCCAAGCCACUGGGAUUAUGGGUGUGCGCCACAGUGCCAGGCUCAGUUUGAUGUUUUUAUGGUACUUUUUGCUUUGGUUUUGUGUGUGUGUGUGUGUGUGUGUUCUUGUUGUUUUUUAAGCAUGAGGCUAGUUUUUCAGUCAGCAAAUUUUCAGUACUUUCCUUCAUGCUGUCUUCUCACUUUCUUCCUUUCUCCUUCUGUCCCACAGGCAUUGACUUCAGGUUAUCUCCACUCAAAUCCUGCGUUUAAGAACAGGUAGAACUCAUCUCAUUCUUCUUCAUCAUAAAAUUGAAGAUUCCAAUCCUUUACUAUCUGCACUCCUUUAUCUUCAGAGACAAAGAGAACAAAACCCAAAUUCCUUCCCCUCUGUCGUGAACUGAUUUUGGACUUGACCAAGAUGGGUCUUGAUGGUGUGAAUUUCAUCUUUUCAUCUCCAUCUUUCCCUCUGAUCUCCUUCAGCCCCAGUCAGUUGGCAACACUGCAACAAGUCCCAAAUGGAUUCACCCUGGUCAUGGAGUCAAGUGAGCCUUGGAGAGAUGUGAUGGACUUAAUUUAUUUUUUAAAAAAUAUAUUUAUUUUUUAGUUGUAGUUGGACACAAUACCUUUAUUUCACUUAUUUAUUUUUAUGCGGUACUUAGGAUCGAACCCAGGGUCGCGCACAUGUGAGGCAAGCGCUCUACUGCUAAGCCACAACCCCAGCCCCAACUUAAUUGAUUUAAUAACCCAAGUGGUGUAGAUCUAUCUAGUCUUUAUUUGACUCUAAAUUGCCACGGUCUUCUUUACCAGUCCAUUUUAUCCCACCCAGUGACUGCCAUGGAGUAACAUGGCAUCGUGUCUUCCUGCAGACUUAGAAAACCACUGUGGAUAUCCUUGUACCAAAGCCUCCCAAAGGCCUUGGUUCAGGAGACAGGUAUCAAAGUGGACUCAGGAAAAGUCCAUUCUCAGCCCCAGUCUUUGAUCUGACUCUCCAAGCUUUGUCAGCAGGACACUAAAUUCAUCUUCAGAAUUAGGCCCUUUCUCAUUUCCACCUGCCCAGCUAGAAGAUAUGCUUCCUUACAAAGAACUAAUGACUCCACCCCCAACCCAAUGACCCCAUCAAACUGGUGAGUUUAUUCCUCUUCAAGGUGUAGAAUGGCUCAAUUCAACCUAUUUUUUUUCCGCCCUCAAAUUAUCAGUUUAUUGUUCUUCUUUCUUCAUGUAGCUUUUCUAUGAAAACUGAAAUGUUGCCAAGUUUAUAUCCCAUGGGUAGGAUUUAGGUUUCAACAUUUCUUACACAGUGUAGCGCUGAAAACCCUCUUUCACAUUUGUCUUAAGUGGGAAUUUUAUUGCUCUGAAUUCCAAGGUCUUUCCCUCUAACUAGGUCUACUUGUUUUUUGUUUGUUUUUUUGUUUUUGUUUUUGUUUUGUUGUACUAGAGAUGGAACCCAGGGUCUCAUGCACAUUAGGCAAGCAUUCUACCACUGAGCCACAUUUUUAGCCCCAGAUCUACUUAUUAAAGCAACAGAUGUCACCACAUCUGGAAUCGUGUAAGUAAACCCAUCUUGUUGUGGAGUUCCUGAUGCUGAAAUGUGUUACCAGUAAGCCAAAGAUAUAAACAUCAUUAAAUGUAAGAUAAAAUGUGUAGACAGAUUCAAAGUUUUAGCCAAAGGGUUAGGGUGAGAUGGACAGGGCCUGGAAAAGAGCCACCUAUUGUAAGAGAUUAGUCGACAAAUUCGCUCCCUUCAAAGGCUCUGGAUGUCCUGAACAUUGUUAAAUCACCAGGGAGAAAAGUAAAUAAAACAAAACACAUUCUUAUAUAAACAAAGAACUUAGUUAAGAGAAACUGUGCAUAAUCACAUCAGGAGGAAGAGAUAAGGCUGAGAGGAUAGGAAGAUGGGCCCCUGGGAAACUUCCUGUGCAGUAGAGCACAAACAGCACCUGUGGAUAUUUGCUAAAAAACAAAAAGGCUAAUUUUAUAUCAGGACUUACAUGACUGGGGUCCAUGCCUCUCCAAAGGAGGAAAAUGCCCAAUUGAUAUUUUUUUUAAUUUUUAUUUUUAGUGUUUUAGAUGUACAUGAGCAUAAUAACUUUAUUUUAUUUAUUUAUUUUUUAUGUGGUGCUGAGAAUCAAACCUAGUGCCUCACACAUGCCAGACAAGCACUCUGCCACUGAGCCACAACCCCAGCUCCUCCCCUCAUAGAUAUUUUGAUUCGGCUAAAGGCUGCAUGAAUAGCUCCUGGACACUGAUUGGGCAGGAUGCCAUCUACCUUAAGCCUAUAGAUCUAUAUAAAGCCCUAGACAAUAACUGUUCUUUAGUACCACUCUUGGGACCCUUCCCUCUUUGGGAACUCUGCUUUCUUUCUUUUUUUUUAAUAUUUAAUUUUUAGUUUUCGGCAGACACAACAUCUUUGUUUGUAUGUGGGCUGGGGAUCGAACCCGGGUCGCACGCAUGCCAGGCGAGCACGCUACCACUUGAGCCACAUCCCCAGCCCUCUUUCUAUUACUCUAAUAAAUUCUGUUACUUUGCUCUCACCAAACCCCAUGUUCUGUGCUACAUAUUUAGGAGCUCAUCUGGAAUCUAUGGAAAAAUGGACCAAUAGCUUUUUUAAGAGCCCUAAGCUUCAUUCAAAUGUUCAGCCCUGUCUGUCAGAAACAAAUAAACAAAAUGGUCAUCUGUCAGCCAAUAAGGGAGAAUAGGACAGCUGUCAGUUUACAAGACUCAGAUGACAGACUUGCUGGAUAGGCAGGGCCAAUCCCCUUUCACCCAGGUAUUGAGGAUGUUGGUCCUGACUUGCUUCAGUUUCUUUUCUGUGGAAGAAAGUUGGUGCAUGGGACAAAGGAAGGCUUGAGACAACCGAAGGCAGCUGACCAGGGUAAAUCCCCACUGCUUCAUGAAGGUCUCAUGCCCUGAGUCUGACCCCCAAAAGCCCUCAGGGGUACAAUUUUUCUUUUUCUCUCUUUCUGACACUAUCUUUCUGUUUCUGGUUAACUUGGCCCAGUGGUGGAAGGUAACUCACCUAAUGAAUCUUGGAUGAAACUGGUCCUAUGAGUGUGAGGACCCAAAAGGAAUGCCCCAAAGCAGCAGCAUGCCUUUGCUGCCCACCAGGAAUCCUACAACACAAGGUAUUAUAAAUCAGCUCUUCCCAGCAAACCUUUACCAUUAAUGACUCUGGCCUUUCACAGACUUCUCAGACUUUCUUAAUAGAAGGAGAAUUCUUACUGGCUAGGCUCACUAGUUACAUAGACUUACAAAGCAGAGGAAUACAUUUUAUUGCAGGUCAUCUUUUUAUCAUUGGGCACUGCAUUUGGAAAUGUAAUAGUGGCAGGGGAUUCCAUUAAAGGCCACUAAUACUGGAUCCCCUGGGUAUUUGGCAUGUGGCAAACAAAGACCUAUGCAUCUUUGCCGAUAAAGCAGCAAUAAAUCCAGGACAUGGGAGUUAGAGAGGUGAAAUUGCUGAUCAUCAGAAGCUCAUUAGGGAGAUGUCCCUAUGAGAGUGGGCAUUUUUUCUGGUGUGGACACCUGAGUUCUGUUUUCUCUUAUACAGAUGGGAGCUUUGAUCUCAACAGUAAUGCUAGCUAACUUCACCAUUAGCCUGCAUACUGAAAAACUGGGACAAGUUUGACCCACAGAUGCUCAAAAAAAAGUGCCUCAUUUUCUUCUGCAGCCAAUCAUGACCUCAAUACAAACUCUCUGAAGGAGAAUCAUGACCAUCAAAGGGAAGCAUAUAUUUAAAUACCAUUCUACAGCUUAGCCCGUAUUGAAAAAAAAGGAAGGAAAAUGGUCUGAGGUUCCCUAUGUGCAAGCCUUCUUUUCCCUAAGGGAAAAAACCCAAAUCAUGCCAACAAAGUAAAUUAAGUUCAGCUAUGAUUGUUACCUUAAUGGAAGAAGCCCCAACUAAGGAAAAAUCUGAAAAAUCCCCAAACUUCCACUUAUUUUUAUCCCCUGUCAAUGGUACACAUGCCUCCCCCUUUAAAUCAAAUAGUUAUCAAGAAGUUAGUAUCCUCUAAUCUGAGGCCCAGUUUCCCUCCCCCCGACCAAAGUUUUUUAACUAAUGAUAGGCUCAGCAUAGACAGACUAGAAUUUAUUACAAGCAAUAAGAAAUUCAUCUAAGGGUUUCAUGGUCUCCCAGGUUUAUAAGUCAUAUGGGUAUGGGUAGGUAAAUCUGGAGGCUUGCACCUUUUUCAUAGUCACCCAUGAAAGAGGAAAGAAUACAGGGGAUACCUAAUCAUAAUCGAGACAAGGGAGCAGCAGGGGAGAGGACUGGUAAGACCCAUCAAGUCCAGUCCUCCACCAGUCUCUAGCAUGUUCGAGUCUCGUCAUAGGUCAUGACCACACUGGUAAGGCAGCACUUGAAUCCAGUAGGUAACAUGGGAGGAGGGGCCAGAACUGCUGACCCUUAGAGGCCCCCAAAUCAGGGAAACUCCCCUAGCCAAAGAGACAGUUUUCUUGAUGCAGAUGCCCAUGAUCUAUACUUUUUCAUUCAUCUUCCAGUGAGGUGGGAGCCUCAGCCUCAAAAAUAAAAUGUGCCACUAGCCACUAGCCUACAUUUUUAAAAAUUGGGUUAGAUUUGAUCCUUGCCAUUAAAAAAAAAAAAAGUCCUGAUAAUUUUCUGCCCCCAAGCCUGGACUGAUUACCAGUUGAGGAAUUUUUUUAAAAAGGCCUCUGAAGGAAAACAGAAACCUUAAAACCAUCUGAAAGCUAGACUGACUUUACAAAAGGAAAAAGUUGUCAAAAUUGCUCUAUGUAGAAGCUUUUGGCUUCUCAUGCUCAAAAUGGCAGGUGUCUUUGCUCCUGAGCUGCCUGUUUGACGCCCAUCUAAAGUGUAAGCUACAGACACAAGUGCCCAAAUCAGCUUGAGACCAGAGAAGGAAAAAGUGUCACUUUUAAGUCAAGGCUACUGUGAGACAUAAAAGACUGUUUUCUCUUUUCUUGCACUCUGGGAUUCUGCUUUUUCAAUAAUUUCCUCCUUAAAUGGUUUUCUCUUUUCUCCGGAUAGGCAUUUAAAAAAGAAAAAUAAAUUAAAAGAUCCCGUAGGUACAAGUUUUCUUUUUCUUAACAUUUUUUUUCUGGGCUGGGGUUGUAGAUCUGUGGCAGAAAGCUUGCCUAGCAUGUGUGAGGCACUGAGUUCAAUCCUCAGCACAACAUAUAAAAUAACUAAAAUAUAAAGGUAAAUCAACAACUAAAAAAAAUACUUAAAAAAAAAGAGAGGGCCUGGGGCUGUAGCUCAGAGUAGUACACUUGCCUGGCAUGUGUAAGGCACUGGGUUCAAUCGUCAGCACCACAUAAAAAUAAGCAAAUAAAAUUCUGUCCAUCUGCAACUACAAAAAAAAAAAAAUUCUUUAAUUUUUUUUUUUUUCUGAAGACUUCACAGGCAAACUGGGGUUGUGGCUCAGCACUUUUCUAAGAUGUGAGAGGUUCUGGGUUCGAUCCUCAGCACCACGUAAAAAUAAAUUAAUAAAAUAAAAGGGGCUGGGGAUGUGGCUCAAGCGGUAGUGCGCUUGCCUGGCAUGUGUUGGGUGCUGGGUUCAAUCCUCAGCACCCCAUAAAAAUAAAACAAAGAUGGUGUGUCCACCGAAAAAUUAAAAAAAUAAAUAUUAAAAAUGAAAUAAAAUAAAAUAAAGGUAUUGUGUCCAUCUACAACUAAAAAUAUUAAAAAAAAAAAAAAACUCCACAGGCUUCCAAAUUCUUUAAAUAUCUGAGUUGAUGCCAAUCGAUUCAAAAGUGCACUCUGUCUAAUAAACAUGUUGCAUGUGCUCCUUUAAUAUAGUAAUUUCAUCUGUGUCAUUUUUUUUUUUCAAAGUCUUUGUCUUAUUCUAAACUCAAGGUUUUCUGAUUAAUUUACCUUUGGUUCUGUAUCAAGUAGUCUGGUUUUGUCUAACCGAAGUUUCUAGCCCUCUGUUUUUCUUUCUGCUAUUUUUAUUCAGAGGCUAGUUGUUCAGGAAUUAACACUCAAAUACACUGGAAAAGGAAAGAGAUCUUCUCCUUUGAAGAGUACUAAGCAGAAAAAAUAAAUAGUGGUGAUAGUGGGGGUGGAUAUGCCCCCAUGGAGGACAAGUGACCACUUGAACCUUUGAUUUCAGCAUCCACCAUGGAUAACAGACUCUGCUUCUAACAUGGCCAACAGGCCUGCCUUAUAUCUGAGUCAUACUGCAAGAUCUAUGACACACACUCUCUUUUAAUUUCUAAAGGGUUAAAUCUAACAGUCUGUAUAAUUAAACAUCUGUAACUUUUACCUUCUAACUGUGGGAAUCUAAUACCUGGCAGAGGGCUAUAAAAUUUUUGUUUCCUGUCAAUUUUUAUUUAUGUAUGUGCACACCUGUGUAUUGUAUGUUAUGUACUUGUGUCUAUAAAUCAUGUAUAUGGCACCAAAAUUGGCAUAUAGAUAAAGGAACACUCAUAAUUUUUUUAAAUGGAUCCAAAUGUCUUUCAGGUCACGUGACUUAGAUUGGUUAAAAAAUAAGAGUAAAGAUGUCUUUAAAAUUGCUGACUUACAUGUUUUUCUAAGUGUCCAGCCAAUAAAGAAAAUAUUAGUACUGGGCACAGUAGUGCACACCUGUAAUCCGAGUGGCAUGGGAGAUGAGGCAGGAAGAUUGCAAGUUCAAAGCCAGCCUCAGCAAAAGUGAGGCACUAGGCAACUCAGUCAGGCUCUGUUUCUAAAUAAAAUACAAAAUAGGGCUGGGGAUGUGGAUCAGUGGUUGAGUGCCCCUGAGUUCAAUCCCAAGUACCGGAAAAAAAAAAGAAAGAAAGAAAACAUUAGUAUCUAUAAAAUGCUAAAGUGCAACACCCAUUGCUUUUAAGGAUUUUUCUUUGGCAGGAAUAACUAACUUAAAGUGUUAACUAGACUUGUCUGAUAACUUGGUU
rnacentral:lncRNA from 1 species